rnacentral:rRNA from 1 species
GACGGAGGAUGCAAGCGUUAUCCGGAAUGAUUGGGCGUAAAGCGUCCGCAGGUGGCACUUCAAGUCUGUCGUCAAAGACUGGGGCUUAACCCUGGAAAGGCGGUGGAAACUGAAGCGCUAGAGUGCGGUAGGGGUAGAGGGAAUUCCCGGUGUAGCGGUGAAAUGCGUAGAGAUCGGGAAGAACAUCGGUGGCGAAAGCGCUCUACUGGACCUGAACUGACACUGAGGGACGAAAGCUAGGGGAGCGAAAGGG